rnacentral:rRNA from 1 species
GGAAUAUUGCACAAUGGAGGAAACUCUGAUGCAGCAACGCCGCGUGGAGGAUGACGCAUUUCGGUGUGUAAACUCCUUUUAUAUAGGAAGAUAAUGACGGUACUAUAUGAAUAAGCACCGGCUAACUCCGUGCCAGCAGCCGCGGUAAUACGGAGGGUGCAAGCGUUACUCGGAAUCACUGGGCGUAAAGCGCAUGCAGGCGGUUUAUUAAGUUGGAAGUGAAAUCCUAUGGCUCAACCAUAGAACUGCUUCCAAAACUGAUAGACUAGAGUCUGGGAGGGGAAGAUGGAAUUAGUAGUGUAGGGGUAAAAUCCGUAGAGAUUACUAGGAAUACCAAAAGCGAAGGCGAUCUUCUGGAACAGUACUGACGCUGAGAUGCGAAAGCGUGGGGAGCAAACAGGAUUAGAUACCCUGGUAGUCCACGCAGUAAACGAUGAAUGUUAGUCGUUGGGACUCUAGUAGUUUCAGUGAUGCAGUUAACACAUUAAACAUUCCGCCUGGGGAGUACGGUCGCAAGAUUAAAACUCAAAGGAAUAGACGGGGACCCGCACAAGUGGUGGAGCAUGUGGUUUAAUUCGAAGAUACGCGAAGAACCUUACCUAGCCUUGACAUACUACAGAAUUUGACAGAGAUGUUGAAGUGCCUUCGGGAGCUGUAAUACAGGUGCUGCACGGCUGUCGUCAGCUCGUGUCGUGAGAUGUUGGGUUAAGUCCCGCAACGAGCGCAACCCUCGUCCUUAGUUACUAACGGUUCGGCCGAGGACUCUAAGGAGACUGCCUUCGUAAGGAGGAGGAAGGUGAGGACGACGUCAAGUCAUCAUGGCCCUUACGGCUAGGGCAACACACGUGCUACAAUGGUUAGGACAAUGAGAAGCGAUACCGCGAGGUGGAGCAAAUCUAUAAACCUAAUCUCAGUUCGGAUAGCAGUCUGCAACUCGACUGCUUGAAGCUGGAAUCACUAGUAAUCGUAAAUCAGCUAUGUUACGGUGAAUACGU